CAGCAGCCGCGGUAAUACGGAGGUGGCAAGCGUUACUCGGAAUUAUUGGGUGUAAAGGGCAAGUAGGCGGUUUAUUAAGUGAGGGGUGAAAUCUUCCGACUCAAUCGGAAAAUUGCCUUUCAAACUAAUAGACUUGAGACUGGAAGGGGGAAACGGAAUUAGCAGUGUAAGGGUGAAAUCUGUAGAUAUUGCUAAGAACACCAGCGGCGAAGGCGGUUUCCUGGUCCAAGUCUGACGCUAAAUUGCGAAAGCUAGGGGAGCAAACAGAAUUAGAUACUCUGGUAGUCCUAGCCGUAAACGAUGAGCACUAGGUGUUGGAACUUCGGUUUCAGUGCCGCAGCUAACGCAUUAAGUGCUCCACCUGGGGACUACGGCCGCAAGGCUAAAACUCAAAGGAAUUGACGGGGACCCGCACAAGCGGUGGAACAUGUGGUUUAAUUCGAUGCUACGCGAAGAACCUCACCAAGGCUUGACAUGCUCGUCAUAUCUCUCUGAAAGGAGAGAGUCAGUUAGGCUGGACGAUGCACAGGUGCUGCAUGGCUGUCGUCAGCUCGUGUCGUGAGAUGUUGGGUUAAGUCCCGCAACGAGCGCAACCAUUGCCCCAUGUUGCUACCUUCGACCUUUCAUUCAUGGAGAACGGAGCGCACUCUUGGGGGACUGCCUGGGAUAACCAGGAGGAAGGUGGAGAUGACGUCAAGUCAGUACGGCCCUUAUGCCUUGGGCUACACACGUGUUACAAUGGACGGUACAGAGGGUUGCCAACCCGUGAGGGGGAGCUAAUCUCAAAAAGCCGUCCCCAGUUCGGAUUGGAGUCUGCAACUCGACUCCAUGAAGCCGGAAUCGCUAGUAAUGGGAGAUCAGCUCGCUCCCGUGAAUACGUUCCCGGGUCUUGUACACACCGCCUGUCAAGCGAUGAAAGCCGGGGGUACCCGAAGUCCUAUGUAGAUAGGCCGAAGGUAAAAUCGGUGAUUGGCGCUAAGUCGUAACAAGGUAACCGUA
rnacentral:rRNA from 1 species